rnacentral:lncRNA from 1 species
AUGGGGAGGAGAGAGAAACUAGAGGAGAAGCAGAGGUUAAGGGAGGAGAUUGACUGCAGUUACUCAAAGGUUGACGUUUAUUAGAUACAAGUAUGGAGGUGAUAAACUACUGUAUUAUAUAAAUGACUGUAACUAUGGUAACAUGGGAAAAUGGAAAUUGGAAUUACAUACCUGACACCAUUUCUCUUAAACUCAUAAAUAAUCAUCAUUGGUAUUUUGAUGGCUUUUAAGUCCAGUUUGAACAAGAGUCAGUGGAAAGGGAUCGGAGUUUUCCUGGAGGCGAACAGCCAAGGGAAAAAGUGUGAUCAGCUUUCUGAUUCAGAUAAAGAGCAAACCUACUAUUAAGAAAGAAGAUCUCAAGAAGAGCUGAAUCACAGUGAAGCUAAACAUACUGUCUUGAAAAUGGAUGCUCAUCUGUAUUUUUUGGGAACAACACAGUUCUUAACAUCUGAACUGUCAUUUGAUAUCUAUUCAACAUACAGAACAAUGGAUCAUAACUUAUGUGACGUCCCGAAUGCCACUAAAUCCAAGU